AGGGGGCGGUAAUGCACCAAUAACCCGGAUGCUAACCGCCUUUAAACUGGAAGGAAGAUGAAAUUCAUCAUGCGUUUAUCUUUGUUUAUAUACCACAAAUAUGUUCGUUACGAUAGCUUGUUACAAUACGAUCAUAAUUUAUUUACUUUGUGUUAUAUCUUGCAGCUCUAGUUAUUUAUAUUUAGUUUAUUAUUGUUGAUAAAGUUGGUAGUCCCUAUCGAUGUCCUUUUUGUGCAGCAGUGUUUAUAAACCAUGUGAAAGAUUUACUCAAAUCCACAGACGUCAAGCGCUUCAUCAUGAACGGGGACCCUGCUACACCUUUCCUACCGUACACCUGAUGGAUACUGACUGUAAAAUGUCAAUCAUAGUUCGAGGGCUCAGGGCUCUUCUGUGGUGACAGAAGAUGGAACAGAUGUGUGUCAGUGCACCAGCCUUGAUAAAGCCUUCAUAACAGCCUUCUGGAUGUAUUUUGCUUUCAACAUUGCAUAUCCAACACACCUGAGAAAGACACUGACUUUCCUUCAGAGGGACAUUGUCAACAUUAGAAGACGAGACAAGCUGAGAGUAACUUUACUCUGAAUGAUUAGCCUCUUUUAUUAGAUCCUCAUCAUUGCCUUGACUGUACCAUUGCCCAAAGUGCACUCGAAGGACAUUCACUCUUUUGAAGUUAACCCAACAUUUUGCGGUUGUACAUGCAUGUGAUAGGGACCCAAGCAGUCACAAGGAGGAUCGAUAGCGAAGCUGGUGUCCAAAGGGUUGUGUAUUUAAGCAGGUAUGGUUUACUGGAAGUCUGUCAGUCCAGAUGUGAGGAAGACAUACGGAGUGGAGCUGGAGCUCAGCAGAUGUGUGAUGCUGUAGAUACUGUGGUCUUCACAGCUUUCUAUUCAGACAAAGAGUUGCUGGAUUCUGUUCUAUGGACUGCUACUACAGAAUUAAUUAAUGAAUGGUUUAUCUAUCUAUCUAUCUAUCUAUCUAUCUAUCGAUCUAUCUAUCUAUCGAUCUAUCUAUCGAUCUAUCUAUCUAUCACUUGAAUUGACAACUGAAACUGAAAACUAAAUAAAUGUUUUAGUGGAUAA